rnacentral:rRNA from 1 species
UCCAGACUCCUACGGGAGGCAGCAGUGGGGAAUAUUGGGCAAUGGGCGAAAGCCUGACCCAGCAACGCCGCGUGAAGGAAGAAGGCUUUCGGGUUGUAAACUUCUUUUGACAGGGAAGAGCAGAAGACGGUACCUGUCGAAUAAGCCACGGCUAACUACGUGCCAGCAGCCGCGGUAAUACGUAGGUGGCAAGCGUUAUCCGGAUUUAUUGGGUGUAAAGGGCGUGUAGGCGGGAAAGCAAGUCAGAUGUGAAAACUAUGGGGGCAACCCAUAGCCUGCAUUUGGAACUGUUUUUCUUGAGUGGUGGGGAGGGAAUCGGAAUUCCGUGGGGAGCGGGGAAAUGCGUAGAUAUACGGAGGAACACCAGGGGCGAAGGCGGAUUGCUGGACAGUAACUGACGCUGAGGCGCGAAAGCGUGGGGAGCAAACAGGAUUAGAUACCCGCGUGCUC